rnacentral:rRNA from 1 species
UAAAAUUGUGAACCUGAAYUAUUAGUAGUUAAGUUCUUGAAAAUUAAUAAAGAUGGCGGUAUUUUAGUCUAUUCAGAGGAAUCUGUCCUGUAAUUGAUAUUCCACGAUUAAAAUUACUUGAAUUUUUAGCUUACAUAUCGCUGUGGUUUGAAUAUUUCUAUUGAAUUUAAAUAUUCAUGAGUUUUAAGGAAAGGAUAUCAAGUCAAGAUGUAGCUUAUAUUUAAGAAGAGAUGGAUUACAUUAAUAUUAUUGAUGGUUAGAGAGUUGAAAAAAUUCUAUAAAAUGGAUUUGAAAGUAAUUUUUUACAAAUAUUUGAAAAAUGAUUUUAGCUCUAAAAU